ensembl:snRNA U6 U6 spliceosomal RNA
UCGCUUUAGCAGCAAGUCUCCUAAACUUGGAAGGCUACAGAGAAGAUUAACAUGGUUCCUCUGCAAGGAUGACAGACAAAUUUGCGAACUGUUCCAUAUUAAA